rnacentral:rRNA from 1 species
CACCGCGGUCAUACGAUUAACCCAAGUUAAUAGGUAUACGGCGUAAAGCGUGUUAAAGCACUAUUUCCAAAUAAAGCUAAAUUUCAAUUAAGCUGUAAAAAGCCAUAAUUGCAACAAAAAUAAAUAACGAAAGUAACUUUACAGUUGCUGAAACACGAUAGCUAGGACC